AGAGUUUGAUCAUGGCUCAGGAUGAACGCUAGCGGCAGGCCUAAUACAUGCAAGUCGGACGGUGCAGCCGCAAUGCUGCAUAGUGGCAAACGGGUGCGUAACGCGUAAGCAGCCUGCCCCAAACCGGGGGAUAGCCCGGCGAAAGCGGGGGUAAGCCGCCAUAGUUCUGCGUUGUCACCUGGCAGCACAGAUAAACAUACGGGUUUGGGAGGGGCUUGCGUCUGAUUAGGUAGUUGGGGGGGUAGUGGCCCACCAAGCCGGUGAUCAGUAGGGGUUCUGAGAGGAUUGGCCCCCACAUGGGUACUGAGAUACGGACCCAACUCCUACGGGAGGCAGCAGUAGGGAAUAUUGGGCAAUGGGGGCAACCCUGACCCAGCCAUGCCGCGUGAAGGACGAAGGCGCUCAGCGUCGUAAACUUCUUUUGCUCAUCAAGAACCGUACUCCCGAGGGGGUACCUGACGGUAGUGAGCGAAUAAGCACCGGCUAACUCCGUGCCAGCAGCCGCGGUAAUUC
rnacentral:rRNA from 1 species